UCUGGACUGCUGUGUUGGUGUUUGCCCUGCCAAGUGUUCUGAUCUGACUCCCUUUUCGACUUGGGGGAGAUGUCCCGGAUGUGACGUAGACCGGCCCCAGUAGCUGGAAACGAAGCUCCGCUUUUCUCCCCCUUCUGGUUUAUCCAGGUCGAACCUCAGGUCAUCACGGCACGGCGGUCCACUC
rnacentral:other from 1 species